UCAGUAGCGUGUAGACAGGUUGGCACCUUCUUCUCAUGCUGGUCACCAACCUGGCUACAUUCUGCUGUGGGAUGGCAUUCCAUUCCUCGAUAAGGAUCUGUUGUAAGUCAGCCAACCUGGUUUUGUUGGUAACUCUGGCACGUACAGCACGCCCAAGCUGAUCCCACAAGUGUUCACGGCAGGCCAUUCUAUCCUCUCCACUCCCAAAUCCUCUAGAGGUACUCUCUGAUGAUCCCAGCUCUAUGGGGGCGAGCGUUGUCAUCCUGGAGGAUGGCAAUUGGUCCCAUAUUCUGGAGAUAUGGAAUUGCCACUGGCUCCAGAAUCUCAUUCCGGUAUCUAACUGCAUGAUGAUUGCCUUCAAUGAUAACAAGGUCUGUCAUUCCAGUUAGGGAGAUGUCACCCCACAGCAGAAUGUAGCCAGGUUGGUGACCUGCAUGAGAAGAAGGUGCCAAGCUGUUGUGGCUGCAUAUGGAUCCUCUACACGCUACUGAGGACCCUGACACUGAGUAUAAAAUGAACAAAUUUUGUAGAAGUCCUCUGAAGUCUUCGUCGAAGCCACGCUGAAGCUACGAUAGCAGAGAAACUGAAGCUAAACCGACGAGACUUACAUUCUUCCAUACUGUCUAGCGGUCAGAAGCCGCAAUUACGAAGUUGUUCAGACCCAGGAUGCACGCUGCUCCACUGCCCUUUCUGCCCAGAGUACAAGGGUGACUACGCCAGGGUGGAAACGCACAUGCAGAGCCAUUUGAAAACGGUGGUACAUUAUGGAGGUAUGUUUGAGAUUGAUAGUUAAGCCCUUAGCCCUGUAUCAUGGUCUUCUAUGAAACUGUAUGGAUUGGUUCUGAAAUUAAAAAAGGUUCUGAAAGUAAUGUUAUUAGUAAUGAAGUGAAGUUGCCAUUCAAUUGUUUCAUGUAACGUUAGCAGGCUAUUUGAUGUUUAUAUCUAUUUCUUAUUUAAUUAUUCUUUUGUUGUUCAGAAUAUGUGAUCUACAAAUGCAAUUUGGGCUGCAGAAAGGGCAGUCACCACCACUGUGGUUGUAGCCUCACCUUUCCCAGGAAGAGUAGCUUUGAAAUCUACAGGAUUGCACAUUUGUUCUCUGCCAACAAAAGUUGGAAAAAUGCAUGCUUGGUGCUUAAACACAGGCUAUGGGAGGUACUUGGUACAAGAUGUACAAUUUCCAAAGUAGCUCCCAUGGCACACGCACACACCAACACACACACACGCACACACCAACACACGCACGCACGCACACACACACCAACACACACACACAGGCCAAGAUUUUGUUUUACUUUUAUUGAUUUUAUCUUGCAUGGCCUGCAGAAGUUUCUCUUCUGUGUUUGUUCUACAACAAAGUUUUGGCGAAAUCUACAGGAUUGCCCAUUUGCACAUUUGUUCUCUAACAAAAGUUGGGAAAAUGCAUGCUUGGUGCUUAAACUGAUGAAACAUGAAAAAAGUUGAUCUCUUCUGGGUUAGUCCUAUAAUAAAGUUUAGGCUA